GGCUCUAAUUUUGAAUUUACAGCUUCUAUAGCAAUACGUGGAUUUAUUCCAAGGACUGAAAUUUAUCUAGAGGCAAAGAACUAUGGUUAUUACAGGCACUAAUUCUGGCUAAAUGGUUUAUACUUCAGAAAUGGAAAGUUAAGGACACUCCUGAGAAAAAACAGUAGAUUUAUGAUUUAUUGCUUUUGGGUGCUUGUGAAAAAAAUUGCUUCUUUUAAGAAAGAAGCUCCUGACAAAUACCGGGUAAUUUGGAAACCAUUCUUGGGACUGUAUGUAUUGUGAAAGGCAUUUUUGUAGAAGUUAGUGGUCAGAGUGGUUCUGGGACUAGAAUCUUUUUGUUUGUUUUGCUUUGUUUAUUUAAAGGGCAAAGAGUUUUGAGAAAUGGGAUAGUUAUUUAUAAAGCUGAGAAAGGGGGAUAUUGUAUUAUGCAGAAAGAUGGCUUUUAAAAUCAGAUUUGUUUCUUUGUCUUAAUCUAUGUUUGUUAAAAUGGUUCAUCCUGUCUGAAAAAUUAUUAAUAAAAGAGAAUAUUAAAUUGUUUAGGACAUAAACAACUUAUAAAUUGAAUGGUGCCACUGAUGCUCCUGCUUGAUUAGAUCUACACCCACCUCUGAAAUUUCCGAAAACUGUUGCUGCCACCCCAUAAUUGCCAAAAUGCCCCUCAAUUCACCGUCUGAGAAUGAGGUGGCCAGUUUAGGUGGCUCAUUUGCACUCAGCCCUAACGGUAUGUUGUUUCUUUUGUAGAGAGCUAUGAACCUUCUGAGGCUAAAAGGGAGGGGAUGAGAGCAAUGCAGACAACCUUGAUAGCAGUGGCCAGUCUUACAGAAUAGUGUUAUAGAGACUGCACACCUAGCAUUCUGUGGUAGCUGUAAUGAGCUGGUAGCCAUUCAAGGAUAGAAAGAAUACUGUAUAGUGCACAGCUGCCAUAUAGUGCGAUGAAAUGCAUAAAGUAAACAUGCAGAGAGAAUGGAAGAGGAGGCGUUUGCUAACUACGUUCUCUACAAUUAUUUGCAAAGUUGCAAUUUUGUACUCCAUCUUAACUGUUAUCUUGUUUCUGAGCCAGUUAAUUUUGUCCUGACUCAUUCACUCUCCCUAUACAGAGCAGUAACUCUCUUGCCCCUUUUUGUUGAACAUAAGAACAUAACAACAUAAGAACAGCCCUGCUGGAUCAGGCCCGAGGUCCAUCUAGUCCAGCAUCCUGUUUCGCACAGUGGCCCACCAGAUGCCGCUGGAAGCCACUGGCAGAGCAGGAAGAGCAGACACAGCUGAAGAGCUAUCCGCACAGUGACUUCUUAGGACCCUACUAGUAAUGUAGAGUAUCCGGGAACCCCGACAACCACCUCACACGAACAGACAGGCGGAUAUAGAAUGGGUAUAGCCACAAAACCUAUGGAUGUAAUAGCAAAGAGAAACUCACACCAUAAGCCUGAGCAACACCAGGGGAAAAGGCCUUCGGUUCCUGUGCCAUCCCACAUCUAUAUAUGAUCUCUGAGAUUUUGAAAUGUUGAAAUUUUGGACUGUUAUGGAUGGAGAAUUGGAGCACCUGUGGGCAAGUGGAAAGUACUGGCAAGCUUCGAGUGAUCCAUGGAUAUAUCAGCCUUAUAACAAUCUGAAGGAAAAAAACUCUAAGAAGGCCAAAUCUCCCUAAACUGUUCCCAUUUUUAAGUCAAUGGGAUGGAAUGUUUGUGAACGCAGACAGUAAUGGAACUCUGUGGUGAGGAGAGGGGGGGUUGAACCAAAAAAUUAUCAGCUUAAAGAACACUUCCUCAAGACAGUCACAAGCCUUUCUGCUUAUGAGGGGGAAGGGUGUGUAAAACUCUUUUGUUUUCUCACCAGCCAUUUCACAGCUUUAUGUUUCUGAGAGGAAAGGCUUUGAAAAGGAGCCGGGACCCAUACAUCGAUCCCGCCCCCCCCCCCCCGCAAACAACAACAAACAAAGAAACAAAGCAUUCGGAAACAAAAAAAAGUUGCAUAUGAAUUAACACCGAAGUUAGAGCAGGCACUCCUGUCUCUGUUGCUGACUUGUGUUUUUUCACCAUGCAUGGUCUCAAGCUCAGGUAACAUUUGCACACCAGGGAUAUACUGCAACCUUUUGUUGUAAGUCUAUUCUUGUACAUCAAAUGGUUAAUGGCAGUAAGGAUGUGCACAAAACAGUAAAAGCCAGUUGGGCUCAAAUCCGAACCAAAUUCAAGCUGGCCUGGCCAAGUUUUGUGCACAAUUGAACCAGACCCAGUUUGAGUUCAAACCAAGCCAGUUCAAAAGGCUCGGAGACCUACUAGUAA